rnacentral:rRNA from 1 species
GACGGAGGAUGCAAGUGUUAUCCGGAAUCACUGGGCGUAAAGCGUCUGUAGGUGGUCAAAUAAGUCAACUGUUAAAUCUUGAGGCUCAACCUCAAAAUCGCAGUCGAAACUAUUAGACUAGAGUAUAGUAGGGGUAAAGGGAAUUUCCAGUGGAGCGGUGAAAUGCGUAGAGAUUGGAAAGAACACCAAUGGCGAAAGCACUUUACUGGGCUAUCACUGACACUGAGAGACGAAAGCUAGGGUAGCAAAUGGG